CGUGAUCUCGAAGUUGUCGUGGAGUUAAUCGAGAUGUAAGGCUCCUUGAUGGUGGUGAAGGUGAACUGUCCCUGCUCAUUUCCCGAGAGAAUUUCGAAAGACCGAAUGGACGUGGAGUGAUGGACGUUGUACUUCUCUCGAUGGAUUUUAAUGAUUCAAAUACAUCUGUAUGCACUCCAGUAGUUUGCAGACGUCAAAAGCUAACACUAAUUGUCUUGGUCAACUGGAUGACAUAUUUCAGAACAGGAAGGAAAAUUCUAUUGUUUUGUCUUCGGCUUUUCUGGUGUUAUGACACGUGGGCUUCAAUGAAAAUUCGCUCACACGUUUUUUGAUAUUUCACGGAAUAGUGGAGUUAUUUAUAAUAUUUAUAUUUCAGUGGGAAAUAUAAUAUCCUAUUAUUAUUAGAGGAUAUGGAAAUGGAAGAAAUAUAAAAAUCUAUGUGAA